UACAGAGGUGGCAAGCGUUGUUCGGAAUUACUGGGCGUAAAGGGCGCGUAGGCGGCCUUCUAAGUCAGACGUGAAAUCCCCCGGCUUAACCUGGGAACUGCGUCUGAUACUGGACGGCUUGAGUAUGGGAGAGGGAUGUAGAAUUCCAGGUGUAGCGGUGAAAUGCGUAGAUAUCUGGAGGAACACCGGUGGCGAAGGCGGCAUUCUGGACCAUAACUGACACUGAGAGACGAAAGCCAGGGGAGCAAACGGG
rnacentral:rRNA from 1 species